UACGUAGGGUGCGAGCGUUGUCCGGAAUUACUGGGCGUAAAGAGUUCGUAGGCGGUUUUGUCGCGUCGUUCGUGAAAACUUGGGGCUUAACUCCAAGCGUGCGGGCGAUACGGGCAGACUUGAGUACUACAGGGGGAGACUGGAAUUCCUGGUGUAGCGGUGAAAUGCGCAGAUAUCAGGAGGAACACCGGUGGCGAAGGCGGGUCUCUGGGCGAAUGACUCUGGAG
rnacentral:rRNA from 1 species